GUUGGUUUGAGCCUGGCAUGUGUCAUGCCCUGAUCCUCCCCUUUUGCUGUUGCUAAAGACAUUUCAGCCUGUCUUUUCAGUGUGUGUCCCUGUUGGAUGCUGCUUUGGAUCUGUUUAUUGCCCUCCCUGCAGUUUAACAGCAGGUUAUUUGAAGGCUGUGUAUCCAGAGCGGUGAAUUCUCAGGAACUUAUCUAUCCGCGUUUGGAUCCUCCUUCUCUCCUUCCUCCUUUUUCGUCCUGGGUGAUUAUUGCUGCGAUUCGACUUUUCCCUCGCUGCGUGCCGAGUGAACAACCUCGGCUUACAACUAUUUAAAAGGGGAAUUCUGCUGCUGCCAUUUGGCUUCUGUGAUUUGUUUUAACCGGUAUUGUCUGGUCUACUGUGGGGUCGAGCAACGUGCAAGUAUCGGGCUGGCUUGAA